GACCAAACCGGUUCGAAUCGAACCGAAAUGGUCUAGAAGCGUUGGCCUUUUUUUUUCUUUCUUUUCUUUCUUUUUCUUUUCCUUCCUUUCCUUCUUCUCCAGGCGCGCGAUCCCUCCCUCCUCCCUCUCCUUCUGUCUCCGGCCACCAGACUGACGAUGGUGGGUGGCGAUCGAUCCCUCUCUUGCCACCGGUCACGUUGCCAUCAUCAGUCAUGCCGAUCAGGCCCUCAGCAGCGACGACGCGAGCUCUUCCCCGGCGACACGACUGCCUCCUCUGUACCAAUGCGAUUCUCCGGUGAGGCUCGACGAUAUCGGUGAUCUUCUAUGGCUUAGCUCGAUAGGAUUUUUGACAAUUGGGUGUUGAAUGGUGAAAUUGAUUUGAGAUUUGGGUUCCUUAUGCAAAAUCGAGUCAGAUGGCGUGAACGACACUUGGUUCUGGGCAUCUGCGACUUUCCGGCCACCGUAUACGGCGGCAUUCCGGUGACCGGCCGGCGAGACUCGAGCGAGGACUCCGAGAGGCAGAAUGAUCUCCUCUUCGCGCGGGUCGCGGAAAUCAAAUCCGAUUUUCCAUCGGGACAUUGUAAGGCUUAGUUGUCCAUUUUCGGUAUAAAAUUGACAACGUGAAUUAAUUAAUUAAUUGGA